UCUUACGGAUGAGCAAAGUAUGUGGCUUCUUGAGAUAGAAUCUGCUCUUGGUUACGAUGUUGUGAA
rnacentral:pre_miRNA from 1 species